GACACAGUGCCAGAGUGGUUAAUGGGUUAGACUUGAAUCUCUUGAUUUAUGUCAUCUAAUGGCUUCGGCCUCGCAAGUUCGAAUCUUGUCUGUGUCG
rnacentral:tRNA from 1 species